CUCCAGUUUCCAGACAUUUGAAAGCUAUGAUAUAAUGAAUGGCAUCUUGUUGGCAAUAUAACAAUACAAAUUACACCUGCUUAACACUGAUGUCAUUGGCAACCAUAGAAAAUCAAAAUACUCAUCACUUGAACAUAGAAUACCUUAGCUAGAUUCACCAACAUUUGCUGGAACCUGAAGCAGGGCUUCUGUUUCCCUCCAUGGGAACCAUAACCUGCCAAUCAUUGGCUGCAGCAGAUAUUACAUACACACCAUACUUGCUCAGACUGCAGACCUCUCUUUCACAUUCACAUAACACAGACCAACCCUCAUAACACUGCAAGCACACAACAGUAGCAGUAACUAAACAACUCUACAGCAGGAUACACAUGUGCUAACAGUAAACUAAAGAAGCUUUUUCCAGCAUAGGUAUACAGUUAAUAAUAAAACAGAUUAUCAUAAACUUAAUUUAAAGUUGCUCUUCGCUCCUUAUCCGAAAUUUUUUUUAAAAUGUUUAAAAUAUUGGGUGCUUUAGCUGCACUAUUUCACGUAUGUGUGUGUGUAGACAUCACCUACCACGUGAAAGAGGGUCAGAAUCCUGAUACUCUGGUAGGAAACAUAGCUUCUGAUGCACAUCUCUACAACAGCUUUCAUGCUGAAGACUUAAAUAGGAUUACAUUCAGCAGACUCCAUGAGAGUCUCAGUGGAAAUGCUCCAAUGUUUAAGGUUGGCAAAAAUGGAAUGAUGUAUACCUCCCAAAUGCUUGACGCUGAGUCACUUUGUAAAUACAACACAGAAUGUUUCAAAAUAGUGGAAGUAGCUGUUCGGCAUAAAGAAUCUUUUGUGAAGGUCAUUGAAGUAAAAGUUAUUAUUGAUGAUGUUAAUGAUCACCAGCCAGAAUUUCCCAUAAAAGAUAUCCAUGUCCAAUUCUCUGAGGGCGAUGGAGUUGGUGGCUCAAAACCAAUUCCAAGUGCUACAGAUAAAGAUGUUGGUUUUCUAAAUUCUCAAAUUACAUAUCGAUUGGAAAAACAUGUCAAUGACCCGUUUUUGUUGUCAGUUGUUAAAAAAAUUGAUGGAAGUAACAAACUUGGAAUAAUUCUUGAGGAAAGAUUAAACAGAGAAGUAAAGGAAACUUAUACACUUCAAGUGAUUGCUAAAGAUGAUGGUACUCCAUCACACCAGGGUAUUUUAACCAUUCAUGUAUCUGUCACUGAUGAGAAUGACAAUCAACCAGUUUUCUCCAAAAACGUUUAUAAUGUCUCCAUUAACAACAGACAAGACAUAUACACACCAAUUGUUACAGUAUAUGCUACAGAUUUAGAUUCGGGUGAAAAUGGAAAAGUUUCAUACUAUUUCAGUUCAAAAACUUCCGAUUUUGCAAAAACAUUAUUUUACUUAAAUGAAACAUCAGGCAAGAUUUUCUUAGCUAGAAAUUUUCCAUUCACAAAGAGAAAAACAUACAAAUUAUUUAUUGAAGCCAUUGAUAAAGGAAGUAUACCCUUGAGCUCUACUGCAAUGGUUCUUGUGAACAUAAUAAACAGACAAAAUAAUGCUCCAAGUCUUGAUGUCAAGUUUGUCUCUGAGCCAAUAGGCAAUAUAACAACAAUUUCUGAAGGUGUCAAAACCAAUAGUUUUAUUGCUUAUGUGAAAGUAAGUGACAAUGAUGUCAAUCAAAAUGGAGAAGUGGUAUGUGAUCUCAACCAUGAUAAACUACAGCUUCAAAAGCUUGGAAGAAAAAAAUACAAAGUUGUUUUAAAAAACCCUGUAGACAGGGAAUCAGAGAGCUAUAUUGAUUUUAUGAUUAGUUGUCAGGACAAAGGAUCGCCACCUCUCAGAACUGAAAGAAAGUUCAAUAUUCAAGUGACUGAUGUCAAUGAUGUACAGCCACAAUUCACAAAAGAUACAUUCAAAUUUCUCACAUACGAAAACGAGAAAUCAAAUUUUCCAGUUGGUUUUAUUAAUGCCUCAGACCCAGACUUAGGAGCUGGAGGUCAACUUUCAUAUUUUCUCUUAAGUAAAGGAAUUCAUGAUCUUCCUUUUGUUAUUUCGAAUUUUGGAUUUAUUUCAACUUCAGAGCCACUUGAUCAUGAAAAAAUGGAUAUUUAUAAAUUUCAAGUUUUAAUAAAAGACAAUGGAAUACCAUCUCUCAACAAUACAGCAAAUGUCAUAGUGGAGGUAAUGGAUAAAAAUGACAAUGCUCCCUAUUUUACCUUUCCAAGUGUUGACCCUUUCAGCUUGGAUGUUCACUACCAACCUCAAAGUAACAACGAGGUGACAGUAUUGAGAGCUUCUGACAGAGACAGUCAUGUCAAUGCUUUCCUUAGAUAUGAAAUAAUUGGUGGCAAUAACAAAGAAUUAUUCACAGUAAAUCAUUACACAGGAGUAUUGUCGUUCUCUCGCAUGGUUUACCAAAACGAUGCUGGAUCAUACAACUUGAAGCUUAGCGUAAAGGACAGUGGUAGUCCGAUUCUAUCUGCCACAACAACACUGUCUUUGAUAUUGACUGUUAGCAACAACACAGCCAAAAUGUUUACAUCUGUUGAUAAAAAGUCUGACCACAAGAUACAUAUCAAUCUAGUAGUUAUCAUUGUUGUAGCAGCUGUGAUUAUAUCAGUUGCAAUUGUGAUUUCUAUGGCAGUAUGUAUGAUUCAUAAAAACAACCAAAGGAACAUCAGAUGCAAUGAAGCUAUAAAUGACCCAAACAAAUAUUUUGACGAAAGAAAUCCGUAUGAUGUUCCUGUAGCAAUGGUUACAGACCAUGGUGGCCAUAGACAUUCUCAAACAACAUUACAGAAAUCUCAACCACAAUCCGAAUACAAGUCAGUCCAAAGUCUUAAAGUACCUUCUUCUAUAAAACAGUCAUAUAAUAUGGCUCAAAGUCUACAUCAGGAGAUAACCAUGACAUCUGGUGUUUAUAAAGAAACUGAGCGAAUGCUUGUUAUUGCUGAUCACAUCAACGAAAUGUCAACUUUAUCCUCAAGUGCAGAUAGCGGACAUGGUUGGAGUGAAAGAAGCACAGCUCAUUAUGAAACCCUCCCAGUAAAACCAGAAAGCAAGUUUUCUGCUUCCCCUUCUCGGGAACCAUAACCUGCCAAUCAUUGGCUGCAGCAGAUAUUACAUACACACCAUUCUUGAUAAGACUGCAGACCUCUCUUUCAAAUUCACAUAACACAGACUAAGCUACAUAUAAAUAACACUGCUUGCUCAUAACAGCAGCAGUAACUGUACAGAUCUACAGCAGGAUACACACAUCUGAGUUGAACGUAAGCUACAGAAAUUUUUCCCAUAUAGAUUGAAAAUUAUUCAGAGUUAACUUCAGUGACAGAACAACAGCACAGGCAAGAUUUGACGUUCAAGACAUGUCAAUAACACUAUUUUUACUAGUGAUCAUGUUGAAUACAUCAGUAUGUAUAGACAUUACCUACCAUGUGAAAGAGGGUCAGAAUCCUGAUACCCUGGUAGGAAACAUAGCUUCUGAUGCACAUCUCUACAACAGCUUUCAUGCUGAAGAAUUAAAUAGGAUUACAUUCAGCAGACUCCAUGAGAGUCUCAGUGGAAAUGCUCCAAUGUUUAAGGUUGGCAAAAAUGGAAUGAUGUAUACCUCUCAAAUGCUUGACGCUGAGUCACUUUGUAAAUACCACACAGAAUGUUUCAAAAUAGUGGAAGUAGCUGUUCGGCAUAAAGAAUCUUUUGUGAAGGUCAUUGAAGUAAAAGUUAUUAUUGAUGAUGUUAAUGAUCACCAGCCAGAAUUUCCAGUUAAAACAGUUGACAUGCAAUUCUCGGAGAGAGAUGGAAAAGGUACGAAGAUAACACUUCCAAGUGCUACAGAUAAAGAUGUUGGUUUUCUAAAUUCUCAAAUUACAUAUCAUCUAGAAAAUAAUGUCAAUGAUCCGUUUAUAUUGUUAGUUAAGAAAAAAAUUGAUGGCACCUCUAAACUUGAUAUCAUUUUACAAAGGAAACUUGACCGAGAAAUAAAUUCCACUUAUACACUUCAAGUGAUUGCUAAAGAUGAUGGUACUCCAUCACACCAGGGUAUUUUAACCAUUCAUGUAUCUGUCACUGAUGAGAAUGACAAUCAACCAGUUUUCUCCAAAAACGUUUAUAAUGUCUCCAUUAACAACAGACAAGACAUAUACACACCAAUUGUUACAGUAUAUGCUACAGAUUUAGAUUCGGGUGAAAAUGGAAAAGUUUCAUACUAUUUCAGUUCAAAAACUUCCGAUUUUGCAAAAACAUUAUUUUACUUAAAUGAAACAUCAGGCAAGAUUUUCUUAGCUAGAAAUUUUCCAU
rnacentral:misc_RNA from 1 species